AAGCGCGAGCGCUCUCCGCCGUUCCUCCGUUUAAAGCCAAACGCGGCCGUUACAGCCGUUACAGUGAGCGGGUCUCUCAGGUCGCUACCGCGGGCAGUUUAUCGAGUUUGUUUAGCGAGUGUUAAACCUGAUAAGACUCUCUCACACUCCUUACUGAGACAGCGCCGCCUGCCGGGUGACGCUUUCAGCUCCCAGAAACGAGGAUUUUCAGCUGCGUAGCUGACUAACGAUAACUACUGACUGGACCGAGUGGAGUGGAGACUGGAGUCCCGACUGCAGCGGUCAGAGUCUGCUUUUAAAAGAUGUUUCUCAUCAGAAAUCAUCUGAAGCUGAGCAACUGGAACAUUCUCUCUUUGGGCCUCAUCCAGUAUGGUGGCAGUCCAUAUCAUUCCCAACACUCAACUGUGCUCUUACACAAGUGGCCUCAUCCUGAUGCUUCUUUCAUUACACUGAACAUCAUUGUCUGAACAUCAGCUAUGCGUGUGAGCUGGGUGCCACGCUGGAGUUCAUGCAUAGGUAUCAUUUAAAGCCUUGUCACAUUUCUUUGUGUACUAAAUGCCUGAGUUGAUUUUAGAUGAGUAAAAUUAUGUAUACUGUACAUUAUAUUCUACUUAUAAAGGGAAUAUAUAAUGCUUUCCCUUUUAUUUACUGUGUUAUGUAGCUUUUUGUGCAUGUAAGAUACAAAGCUGAAAGUAUAUGCCAGAGGGAGAAACUCUCUCCCACAGAAACCACUUUUCUCAGCUGCCUGAGGGCUGGAGUUCCCCAGCCCUUUUCCUUUGUUACAAGAUGAUGUAAUCCCAUAACACAAUCCUUAUUGCCCACCUACCAGCGAGCUUGGCACACCCUCACACAACGCAACGCAUCUACCGGAGCCCGUGUAUUGGCGGAACCGCUCUGGUGCUUGAUCAGUCAGAGCCAAGUGAGCGAGCUAACUAAUCUGAGCAUACUGGGCUCAUCAGGAAGGAGGGGCUUAAAGACACUGGAGCUCUAACAGAGUGUUUCAGACAGAGGGUGAGUAGACAAUUACAGUAUGAGAAAAAUAAUGUGUUUCUGGAACACUGAAGCAUGCAAAUGUAUUAUAGUCGACCCCAAAAAUAAAUUUAUGAACAUUGGAAAUUAGCAUAACAGGUCCCCUCUCAAUUCAGCCUGCUUGUGUAUGCAGAUCCAAAAGUAAUUUCAAAUUUAUUGUCUUAAAAUUGAUUUUUUAACAGAUGCAUUUUCCUCAUAUCUCUGACAAAGAAGACCAACACUGAGAAAAAACAGAGGAAGAAGCGAUGGGCUGUGAAUCUGACAGUUCUCUCACUCAUCACGGAUUUAACUCUAAAAGGAGAGAUCGGUAACAUUAGCAGUGCGAUAUCAGUAAUGUUAGUGUUCAGGCAUUACGGCAUGGACAUAUGCACACUGAGUUAUCUGUGUCCUGUUUCCUGUGUCCACAUAUGUCCACAGCUUGACUCUAUUCCAGCUACCAGCACAUCUGAGUCUGGUAUUAAUUGUUUGACAGCUGAUCAUUAUCUGGCUCAGGUAUGUUAUGAGUACUGCUGGGGUUCAGACCUCUGUAUUACUCUGUUGGUCAGUUUUUCUUUUUAGUCCAUAUUAAUUUGUCUUAAAAAUGUUUCCUAUCAUUUAUAAUUGUUCAUAGUACUAUAUUGUUAAUAACCUCAGCACAACUUAUAUA